rnacentral:lncRNA from 1 species
CAAAUCCCACACCAAGGAUAAAAUCAGAAAAUAGAGCCAAGGUUUACCAAGAUAAAAAAAAAAAAUCUAGGAAUAAAAGGAAAGUUAGAGACAUAAAUGAAUAAGAGGAACAAAGCCAGAUAUCUUAGAAAGUACAGGGCCUAUCUUUAAACACAUUAUGAGAACAACAGCAAACAACAGAAUAAUAUAUUAAGAUCCUCAAGAAAAGAAUAGAUGAGUCAAGAUUUCAUAUCCAACUAAAAUUACUUUCAAAUAUAAGGGCCACUUUCACUAUUCAAGAACUCUUAAGGAACUUACCAUAGAACAAGCUUUAGACAACCAAAAUGACUGGAGAGACAUCAACUUAAGAACUGUUGAUAAACAGUAAGCAUAUAUUUAACUGUAGAACUAACAUUAAAUGAUGGUUACAAGGGAGGUGGGAGAAGAACAAGUGAAGGAGCCAAGGAGGUAAAGAGAAGCAGGGAGAAAUGUGGAAGCCUGGAAGAAAUAAUUUUUGCACAGAGAUCAAGAAGAAACUCUCAAAACGAACAAAGGAACACUCCCCCAAGUCUCCAUCCAGAUGAAGAAACUGAGUCUCCUUUCCCAGGAUAACAAGUGGAAGAGCUAGGACUCAAACCCAGAGAUGGAGAAAUGGAGAGGCACUCAAAGCACCUCUGCUCCUCACUCGGUAAAGGUGAGUUGCAUUUGCUUUCCAUGUGGACAGACUGAAAUACAAAGGGGUUGGCCACCCACUGGGUUCUGUGUGCAGAACUUCGGCCAGGUAGCAGACUUCAUUCUUGGAGAACAGGUAGUUGAGUAGAACUGGAACUCCCUGUUUCUGUACCCCUGGAAGCUGUCUGACCUCCACCAGUGACACACCAAGGAGAAGGAGGAAGAUACCUAAAAUCCUGUAUGCCUAUGGACAGAGGGGUGAAUUAAGCACAGUCCCAGAUCUUAAGAUGCUUGAUCAGGUGAGAGGAGAUAAGCAUGUAGGUAAUUAUACAACAAUGGAAUAAUGAUAUGAUGCAGAGAGACUGGUGAGUGGAGUUCCAGCAUGAGAGGAUGGGCAGUUGGGUGCUCAGAUAAAGAUGA